GUAGUCUCGCACAGAUGCAUAUCAAUAAGCGGAGGAAAAGAAACUAACUAGGAUUCCCUCAGUAACGGCGAGUGAAGCGGGAAGAGCUCAAAUUUGAAAUCUUCAAGGUUCUACCUUGACGAAUUGUAGUUUAAAGAAGUGUUUUCUGUUGGAGUUUUGGUAAAAGUUCUUUGGAAUAGGACAUCAUAGAGGGUGAGAAUCCCGUAUUUGACCAUUAUUUCCAGCUUUGUGAUACACUUUCAAAGAGUCGGAUUGUUUGGGAAUGCAGUCCAAAAUGGGUGGUAAAUUUCAUCUAAAGCUAAAUAUUGGCGAGAGACCGAUAGCGAACAAGUACCGUGAGGGAAAGAUGAAAAGAACUUUGAAAAGAGAGUUAAACAGUACGUGAAAUUGUCAAAAGGGAAGCGUUUGACACCAGUGUUGUUUUCUCGAAAAUCAAUUAAAAAAGGCAGGAUUUUGUGUUGUAUUGACUUUAUCAGCUUUCUGCACUCUUUUCUCGUCUUUUUUUAACUGCACUUUUCGUUUAACAAGUCAACAUCAAUUUCUUUUGUUGUAAAAGGGUCAUUGGAAGGUGGCUUUCUUUUCGGAGAAAGUGUUUAUAGCCUUUGGCCUCUGCAAUCGGAGAGAUUGAGGUCUGCAGCGUAGAUCCUUCGGGGUUAGAUACAUUUGUGCUAAGUUAUAGCCUUUCAUAGACAACUUGUUGACUAUGAUCAGUCAUGUAGCUUACUCGCUUAUGCUAUUUUACCUACGCUUAGGAUGUUGAAGUCAUCGUAUCGCGC
rnacentral:rRNA from 1 species